CCUACGGGUGGCUGCAGUGAGGAAUAUUGGUCAAUGGGCGCGAGCCUGAACCAGCCACGUCGCGUGAAGGAUGACGGCCUUAUGGGUUGUAAACUUCUUUUACAGGGGAAUAAAGUGAGUCACGUGUGAUUUUUUGCAUGUACCCUGUGAAUAAGCAUCGGCUAACUCCGUGCCAGCAGCCGCGGUAAUACGGAGGAUGCGAGCGUUAUCCGGAUUUAUUGGGUUUAAAGGGUGCGUAGGCGGGAUAUUAAGUCAGCGGUGAAAGUUUUCGGCUCAACCUUAAAAUUGCCGUUGAAACUGUUAUUCUUGAGUGCAGUAGAGGUAGGCGGAAUUCGUUGUGUAGCGGUGAAAUGCGUAGAUAUAACGAGGAACUCCGAUUGCGUAGGCAGCUUACUAUAUUGCUACUGACGCUGAGGCACGAAAGUGUGGGUAUCAAACAGGAUUAGAUACCCCAGUAGUC
rnacentral:rRNA from 1 species